GACGAUCAGAUACCGUCGUAGUCUUAACUAUAAACGUUGCAAACCAGGGAUAGGACAGUGUCCGUCUCGACUCCUCCUGGACCUUGGAGAAAUUACGAGUCUAUGGGUUCUGGGGGGAGUAUGGUCGCAAGGCUGAAACUUAAAGGAAUUGACGGAAGGGCACACAAAGAGUGGAACCUGCGGCUUAAUUCGACCCAACACGGGAAAACUCACCAGGUCCGGAUACACGUAUGAAAGUCAAGCUGAAAGACUUUACUCAAUGAUGUAAGUGGUGGUGCAUGGUCGUUCUUAGUUCGUGGAUUGAUUUGUCUGGUCUAUUCCGAUAACGAGCGAGACCCCGACGUUCCUAAUAGGGGUGGCAGCCAGACCGGUCGCAAGGCCGGUUAGCUCGCCGCCUGAAGUUAUACUUCUUAGACGCAUCAGAGCCGAUAAGGUUCUUGAAAUGGGUUAAUAACAGGUCAGUCAUGCCCUUAGAUGUUCUGGGCCGCACGCGCGUUACAAUGGCAUGUA
rnacentral:rRNA from 1 species